rnacentral:rRNA from 1 species
UGCGGAAGGAUCAUUAAAGAGUAAGGGGUGCUCAGGCGCCCGACCUCCAACCCCCUUUGUUGUUAAAACUACCCUUGUUGCUUUGGCGGGACCGCUCGGUCUCGAGCCGCUGGGGAUUCGUCCCAGGCGAGCGCCCGCCAGAGUUAAACCAAACUCUUGUUAUUAAACCGGUCGUCUGAGUUAAAAUUUUGAAUAAAUCAAAACUUUCAACAACGGAUCUCUUGGUUCUCGCAUCGAUGAAGAACGCAGCGAAAUGCGAUAAGUAAUGUGAAUUGCAGAAUUCAGUGAAUCAUCGAAUCUUUGAACGCACAUUGCGCCCCUUGGUAUUCCGAGGGGCAUGCCUGUUCGAGCGUCAUUACACCACUCAAGCUAUGCUUGGUAUUGGGUGCCGUCCUUAGUUGGGCGCGCCUUAAAGACCUCGGCGAGGCCUCACCGGCUUUAGGCGUAGUAGAAUUUAUUCGAACGUCUGUCAAAGGAGAGGACUUCUGCCGACUGAAACCUUUUAUUUUUCUAGGUUGACCUCGGAUCAGGUAGGGAUACCCGCUGAACUUAAGCAUA